UGGGGAAUUUUGGACAAUGGGCGAAAGCCUGAUCCAGCAAUGCCGCGUGUGUGAAGAAGGCCUUCGGGUUGUAAAGCACUUUUGUCCGGAAAGAAAUCCUCUGGGUUAAUACCUCGGGGGGAUGACGGUACCGGAAGAAUAAGCACCGGCUAACUACGUGCCAGCAGCCGCGGUAAUACGUAGGGUGCAAGCGUUAAUCGGAAUUACUGGGCGUAAAGCGUGCGCAGGCGGUUUUGUAAGACGGAUGUGAAAUCCCCGGGCUUAACCUGGGAACUGCAUUCGUGACUGCAAGGCUAGAGUAUGGCAGAGGGGGGUAGAAUUCCACGUGUAGCAGUGAAAUGCGUAGAGAUGCGGAGGAAUACCGAUGGCGAAGGCAGCCCCCUGGGCCAAUACUGACGCUCAUGCACGAAAGCGUGGGGAGCAAACA
rnacentral:rRNA from 1 species